GUGUCUUACUCCAGGAGAGAGUAAGAGUAUCGGGUACCGUCCGGUCGGGGAAGGGACCGUUCAGCGAGGAAUUGGACGAAGACUUACCCAGGAGAGAUACAACCAUUUGUACCACUGAAAGAGGAUGGACUCACGCAUCUCGUGUUAAAGGACCAGUCAGCACUCCUGAAUGGACUGUAACCUCUCAACCUGGGAAUCUCCAAAUGACGUUCAGAAAAGCAGGAGUGGUAAAUGAAUCACUUUGAACGGGACAUAAGACCCAGUCUAUACUCCUGGUUUGGAGUACCUCCAGACCUAACCUUAAUAAAAUUUUGGCAUAGCCAUUGGCUGAGCGGACCAAUCCCUUACCAGACCGGGGGAAGUGGAUUGUAUCAAAUUGCUGAAAAAGGGAAAACUUUUCCUUUUUGUUGUGAACUUGAAACUGAAAUUACUUAGCCAGAAAGACCUGUACGGAAAAUACCCUGUAUAAAACACCCAGGCUCAGGACACCAGGGUUGGGUCAGUAGUAAAUGUAUAUUAUGUGGUAUAGAGUGGUAUUGUGUAGCAAGUAGACGGAAUACCCAUUGUAUGAAUUGUCGAGACUUCUUUAUUGCUUCUGAUGAGCAACUGGGUGUUUUGGAAAUUGAUAAGUUAUUCUGCGGAUGGGAAUGGUUGGUACCAGAGAACUGGGAAGUCUAUAAAAAGGAUUGGUACAAAACUUUAGAACAGUGUGCCAUUAAAUUUGCCUGGAAAACAAAUUUAACAACCAACCAACUUUUAGAAAUACUAGAAAAGCAUAUGAAACAAACAGGUCUUGAGAAAUAAAGGAAAAGACUGGAAAGUUAUAAGAAUCUAU